rnacentral:rRNA from 1 species
ACAUGUUUACAACAUAGAGUUAAUGCACCAGGUCCCAUUAGAACUCCGCAGUUGAGAACGCUUGGGCUAGAGUAGUAUUAGGAUGGUUCACCACCUGGGAAUGUUUUACAAGCCUAUGGCAUUUU